CCUACACAUGCAGUCGAACGAACCUUUCGGGGUUAGUGGCGGACGGGUGAGUAACACGUGGGAACGUGCCUUUAGGUUCGGAAUAACUCAGGGAAACUUGUGCUAAUACCGAAUGUGCCCUUCGGGGGAAAGAUUUAUCGCCUUUAGAGCGGCCCGCGUCUGAUUAGCUAGUUGGUUGAGGUAAUGGCUCACCAAGGCGACGAUCAGUAGCUGGUCUGAGAGGAUGAUCAGCCACAUUGGGACUGAGACACGGCCCAAACUCCUACGGGAGGCAGCAGUGGGGAAUCUUGCGCAAUGGGCGAAAGCCUGACGCAGCCAUGCCGCGUGAAUGAUGAAGGUCUUAGGAUUGUAAAAUUCUUUCACCGGGGACGAUAAUGACGGUACCCGGAGAAGAAGCCCCGGCUAACUUCGUGCCAGCAGCCGCGGUAAUACGGAGGGGGCUAGCGUUGCUCGGAAUUACUGGGCGUAAAGGGAGCGUAGGCGGACAUUUAAGUCAGGGGUGAAAUCCCGGGGCUCAACCUCGGAAUUGCCUUUGAUACUGGGUGUCUUGAGUAUGAGAGAGGUGUGUGGAACUCCGAGUGUAGAGGUGAAAUUCGUAGAUAUUCGGAAGAACACCAGUGGCGAAGGCGACACACUGGCUCAUUACUGACGCUGAGGCUCGAAAGCGUGGGGAGCAAACAGGAUUAGAUACCCUGGUAGUCCACGCCGUAAACGAUGAUUGCUAGUUGUCGGGAUGCA
rnacentral:rRNA from 1 species